UGCAGUCGAGUGCGCGUUUCCGUAGCAAUACGGAAAUGGCGCACGGCGCACGGGUGCGUAACACGUGGGUAAUCUGCCCUCUGAUGGGGAAUAACCCGCCGAAAGGCGGGCUAAUACCGCAUAACAUUCCUUGGACUCCGGUUCGAGGAUUCAAAGGCGUAAGUCGUCGGAGGUGGAGCCCGCGCACGAUUAGCUAGUUGGUAGGGUAAUGGCCUACCAAGGCUAUGAUCGUUAGCUGGUCUGAGAGGAUGGCCAGCCACACUGGAACUGAGACACGGUCCAGACUCCUACGGGAGGCAGCAGUGGGGAAUCUUGCACAAUGGGCGAAAGCCUGAUGCAGCGACGCCGCGUGGGGGAUGAAGCUUCUCGGAGUGUAAACCCCUUUCGACCGGGACGAAUACCUCGCAAGAGGGGUGACGGUACCGGUAUAAGAAGCCCCGGCUAACUACGUGCCAGCAGCCGCGGUAAGACGUAGGGGGCCAGCGUUGCUCGGAAUUACUGGGUGUAAAGGGUUCGUAGGCGGUGUGGCAAGUCGGGAGUGAAAUCUCUGGGCUCAACUCAGGGGCUGCUUCCGAAACUGCCGCGCUAGAGUGUGGGAGAGGCGCGUGGAAUUGCAGGUGUAGCGGUGAAAUGCGUAGAUAUCUGCAGGAACACCCGUGGCGAAAGCGGCGCGCUGGACCACUACUGACGCUGAGGAACGAAAGCUAGGGGAGCAAACAGGAUUAGAUACCCUGGUAGUCCUAGCCCUAAACGAUCAGGACUUGGGGUGCCACCCGUUCGGGUGUCGUCCCGGAGCUAACGCGUUAAGUCCUGCACCUGGGGAGUACGUCGCAAGACUGAAACUCAAAGGAAUUGACGGGGGCCCGCACAAGCGGUGGAACAUGUGGUUCAAUUCGACGCUACGCGAGGAACCUUACCUGGGCUCGAAAUGCUGGUGACCAGCUG
rnacentral:rRNA from 1 species